rnacentral:rRNA from 1 species
GGGGGCCCGCAAGCGGUGGAGCAUGUGGUUCAAUUCGACGCAACGCGAAAAACCUUACCUGGGCUCGAAAUGUAGUGGACCGGGGUGGAAACAUCCCUUUUCGCAAGAACCGCUAUAUAGGUGCUGCAUGGCUGUCGCCAGCUCGUGUCGUGAGAUGUUGGGUUAAGUCCCGCAACGAGCGCAACCCUUAUUGUCAGUUGCCAUCAUUCAGUUGGGCACUCUGGCGAAACCGCCUCGGAUAACGGGGAGGAAGGGGGGGAUGACGUCAAGUCCUCAUGGCCUUUAUGUCCAGGGCUACACACGUGCUACAAUGGUCGGUACAAACCGUCGCAAACCCGCGAGGGGGAGCUAAUCGGAAAAAGCCGACCUCAGUUCGGAUUGGAGUCUGCAACUCGACUCCAUGAAGCUGGAAUCGCUAGUAAUCGCGGAUCAAAACGCCGCGGUGAAUACGUUCCCGGGCCUUGUACACACC